rnacentral:lncRNA from 1 species
CCAUCCACACAUACAUACACAUUAACACAUAUAUAUUACAGACACAAACACACAUAGUACACACACAAACAAACACACACACACACACACUCACACACAAAAACACAUACACAAACACACGUAACUGUAUAAACACAGACGCAUACGCACUCACAUACAUACAUAUUACCCACACAAACACAAACACACAUGCAUACAUGCACACACACAAACACACACACACACACACACAAACAUAGACACACACACACGCACAUAUUACAUACACACACACAAACACACAAACCCACCCACCCACACAAACACAUAUAUUACACACACACAUACAAACUUAUACCCACACACACAUAUCACCCACAUAAACACAUACACACAUCACACACACACAUCACACACAAACACACACGCACACACACACUCAUACAUACACAAACACGCAUAUUACACUAAAAUAUUCAUAAACACUCGUAGCUGUAUAAACACAGAUACACCCACACACACGCAUAUUACCCACACAAACACAGACACAUUCUCAC